rnacentral:lncRNA from 1 species
CCCUUUAUAAGGAUGUAGUGUCCAUCUUUGUCUCUCUUAAUCAGUGUUGGUUUGAAAUCUACUUGAUCUGCAAAGAGGAUAGCUACUACUGCUUUUUUGGGGGGUUCCUGUCACAUGGAGCAUUAUUUUCCACCUUUUAAUUUUUUUUUUUUUUUGGUAGCAGGGAUGGAACUCUCAGGACCUUGCGCUUGCCAGGAGUUGGUGGAAUCACUGAGCUAAAUUCCUGGCCUCACCCUUUAACGUUUAAUCUAUUAGUUUCUUUUUAAAUUAAGUGUGUUUCUUGUUAUCAGCCUAUUGUUGGAUCUUGCUUCUUGACCCAUUCUGGCAGUCUAUUUCUUUUUAUUGGUGAAUUGCACCAUUAAAUUUGAUGGUUAUAACUGAUAUAUAAUGACUUAUCAUUGUCAUGACUUUUUCUGUUUUUUGAUUCUCCCCUUUGCAUUUAAUUUCUUGUUGUGCUCAUUGGAUUCAUUCUUCUGGGCUGCCUGGGGUUGUGAUACUUGUUGCCUUUUCCUAGAAUAUUGUCUAAAAUUCUUUGGAGUGCUGUUUUGGUAUUCAUGAAGUUCCUAAAGUGCUCUUUAUCCUGAAAGUAUCUUAUUUCUCCAUCAAUUUUGAAAGAUAGUUUUGCAGUGUACAUCAAUCUGGGUUGUAGACUGUUUUCCUUUAGGGACUGAAAUAUGUUACUCCAAGCUCUUCUUGCCUUAACGGUUUCCAUUCAGAAGUCUGCUGUGAUUCUGGUGGGCUUUCCUUUGUCUGUGAUUUAUUACUUUUCUCUAACUGCUUGUAGAAUUUUGUUCUUCUGUUGGGUUUCUGGAAUCUUAACUAUUAUAUGCCUAUGUGUAGAUUUUUUUUUGAUCAAGGCUAUUUGGAGUGCCAUAUGACUCACUUAUCUGUAUGUCAAGUUCUUUCUCCCUACUUGGGAAGUUUUCUGCCAUCACUUCUGUGAACAAUUUUUAUGUCUUCUGCACUCUCUCCUGUUUCUUCAUUGACUUUGAUUAGUCUGAUGUUAUUCUUCUUUGGAUCGUCUAGCAGCUGCUGGAUUGAUUUCUCAUGUUCCCUUACUUUUUUAAAGAAUUUUUUCUUUUUAUGAUCAUAAAUUGCAGUCCUAUCUUCUAUAUCUGAAAUUCUAUCCUUGCAUUGGCUUAUUCUGCUGUGUAAACUUUCAGUGGAGUUUUUAAUCUCCUGGAACGCUGUUUGGAUCUGUUUUAUGGAUUCCAUUUAUUUCCUAUGUUGGGAUUCCAUCAUGUUCCUCAGCUCCUCUGCUUUUUAAUCUGUGUCCUCUCUAGAUUUAUUAAUCAUGUCUUGCACUAUGGGCACAGUUUCUGGUGUUAUCUGAGAAAUUAUAUCUGAUUUCAUUUUUUCCAGAUCCUUUUUGUUUCCAGUUCAGGGAUUCCAAGUGGUUGAGUAUCAGAUUGUUCCAUCUCAUUUCCCUUUGGGGUUGCUUUUGGUGAACUGGAAGUUUGGUUUUGAGAGUUGUUUACAUGUCUUCUCAUUUCAAAGGUGGGGUGCUGCUGGUGCACCCAUGGCUCACCUCCUCAGUGCUGGGGGCAGCUCUACUCCUUGGCACUGGAGGUGGCUCUUGCAUUACUGUUAUCUACAGUAAUGCUAUAAUGAAUAGUACCCCAGAGCUCUUGCUCCUGCUCCUAUUGAACUGUAACCCUUGCCCAUUGAUCAGUCUUUCCUCAUUCUUCUCUUACCUCUACUCUCCCUGAUCUAUGGUAACAAUCUUUCUGUUCUCAACUUCUAUGAGAUCAGUGUUUUUAGAAAUAUGAAUGAGGUCUAUGGUACUUGUCUUUCCAUACCUGGCUUACUAAACUCCCAAUUCAUGUGAUCACAAAUGAGACUUUAUUCUUUAAUAUGACUGAACACAAUUCUAACCAUAGAGAUUAUUUAGGAGGUAAAGAGAAAGAUGCUAAAUAUUCUUGCUCUCAUGGUUAGGGUUUAACCAUCAGUUACAUAUUUGAUUAGAGGGUAACAUUUUAUUUUAAUAAACACCUUCAUUUACCUUUAUUUCCAUAAUAAUUUUAUAAAGAGAAUUCUAGCUAUCAGCUACAAAAUCCCAAAUAUAAAGGAAGUAGUAAUAUAACCAAUUUCAACAUGUAGCUUAAAUUUUGUAGGGAUAAUCAUGUGAUCAAUUGUAUGCAAAUUUGGCAGGUUAGACUGCUAUUACAUAUCCCUAAUCUAUAAAAUAUGUUUGGAUAAUAUUUUAUUAUAUUGCAUUGCUUUACUUAUUACAUAAUAAGAAUCAUAUCACCAGUACCAUGGACAGUGUAUGACAUAUAGUAAACCUCACAAUAUUUAAUAGAUAAGUAAAUGGACAAAUGAAACAAUUUAUCCUAUUAUAGCAAAAAGAAAAUUUGUUUAGAACAUGGAUUGAAGAUUAAAUUUACCCUAUGUGCCAGAAAAAUAAUGUUUCACUGAACAUUGUAGAAAAUUGGAAAAUUUUUCCAUAGAUUCCAACUUGACUUAUGAGUUUUAGGCAAUUAAUAAAAUAUGGAAAUAUGGAUGCUGGGAAAAUGGGCCAAGAAACUAGUCAAAAAUCUACACAAGAGAUAAUUCUUUAGACUAGGAUAAUGGUGUUAAAGGGAAGAGAGCUACUAAAAAUAGGAACAGAACUAAUGUAAUACAAUAUGUGAAAGGCUAACUUUAAGAAAUGGUGUUACUAUGAAAACAGAGAAAUAUGUUUGGCUUUAGGUUGAAAAAUGGUGACAUCCUUAACAAAAAUAUAUUAAUAUGAAAGCAUGUAUGCAUAUAUAGAACUCAAUCUUCUGGCUAUUAUAAAAUACUGUUGCUUAUUUGUUUAGUUCUCUAUAAAGAACCAGCAAUGAGUCCAUCAGAAAAUAUCUCUAACUUAAUUGUAGAAAUGAAACAUGGCUUUAGAAGCUUAAAUUGUGAGUUAUAGAUAUAUGUGAAGAAAAAGUGCAUGUUCUGAUGUACUUGGAGAAUGUAGUAAGUGUGUGAUUAUUCUUUCUUUUUUUGUUGUUGUUCUUUAGUAUAUGGAAGUAAUACUGGAGUGGUACAAGGUGGCAAAUUAUGCCUUCUAGAUGAUCAUUAUGUUUGCUGAUAUAUUAAAUUUUGGAAUGACAUAAUCUAGCAAAAAUAAUCAAAUACAGAAAUUAGGAAAAUGCUUAAUACUCUCAGAGAACCCUUAAUUCUUUCUUGCCUUCAUGUUAAAUUUUCUCAAUCUAUUCACUCCCCCCACCUUCAAGCCACCUACCGAAUAAUGUCACACUCUGUAAGAUUACUUUAUGCCAUGCUCAGCCUCUAUCUCUAAGAACCAUUAAAAAAUAUUUUAUAAAUUCCCACUACCAAAUCCACACAUGCAUCAUAAAAGAAUGCCUCUCCUAUUAGGAAAAUGUGUUUUAUAUGUUCUUGAUUAAAGAUGUCUUCAUAGUGAAUCCCUUCCCUUUUCUGGGUAUACUCUGAAAAAUUUCUUGCUUUUAUUUCUCCAUCAUCAAAAUUUCUUCUUUAAAAUAUUCCAGUUAAUAAAACACAUGGUUUAGUCAUGAUAUUUUCCCCCACAUUAUACAGAGAAAAAGAGCCAUUUUGAAAUCCAUAUCUCUCUCUGUUGACAUUUUCACCAAACUUCUUGAAUCAUUGGUACAUAUUUGUUUACAAAGUAAGUAUUUCCAUUCUCUCCUGAACCACCAAUAAGUGUUUUCUCUAUCACCCUAACGUAUUUCUUCCUGUCAAGAAACCAUGCACACUACAAGUAGUCAUCAUCUUGCUAGAUAUAGCUCAGUCAUAUACUCCUUUCCCUUGCUCCUUUUCCCUCCAACUUCUUUCUCAACUUCAUCUCCAUCUUCCUUUGUUACUUUUUUUUUUUUUUUUUGCUCCUCAACCUCAAAAUUUUGGGUACUUCUGGUUCAUUGAGUUAGUUUCUUCUGUUUCUAUUAUCACUUUUCUGAAGAUUUAAUCCAAACUGAGUUCCAAGUGCUGCCAAGGUGUUUAUUAGUGAUUGACAAUAGCAUAUCUCCUACUUGAACCCCUUCUAAGAAUGUGAGACUUUGUAUAUCUAUCUGCUUGACAAUUUCAUUUAGAUUUUGUUGGCUAUUUCAUAUUGAAUGCACCCAAACUAUAUUUCUAUUAACUACUCAUAUCUCAGAAGUGACAUUUCAUUCUUCUUUUUAGUGAGACAAAAAAAUCAAGGAUUCACCUUUGAUUUCUCUUAUCCUUCUUCUACUUCUCUCCUAUCCUCUCAUACUACACUUUCAUAUGUCAAUAAAUUCUGUCUUCUCAGUUGGGAAAAUAUCUAAAGUUUUGAAAAAUUUCACUACCUGCCCCAGUAGCAGUCUAAUUUGUGACAUUGUAACUUCUUAUCUGAUUUAUUGCACCAAUCUCCUAAAUGUUCUCUUACUUCUGUCUUUAACUUUAAAUAUAUUCUCAACCUAGCAGUCAGGAAUAUUUCAUUAAAUGUAUCUCAUGUGGUAUCAUCAUUCAUUUUAAAACUACGCAUACCUUCCAAUAAUUUUCAAGGCAAAGGGCAGUCCUUAAAAUGACUUAUAAAAAUCUAUAUGAUCUGUCCUCCAUUAUCUCUUUGUUUUAAUCUUUUGUAAGAAUUUUCUUGGCCAUGAUAUCUAAAGCUGAAUUUUCAACUAGGUUAUUUUCUAUUCUGCUACCCUACUUUCUUUUUAAAUAUUUAUCACUAUCAAGUAUACUAUAUACUUACUUGUUCAUCUUGUGUAGUGACUGUUGUUUCCACUAGAAUUUAAACUCCAAAAGCAUGGUGAUUUUUUGUGCUGUCUUUGCUGAUACACUCCAAGAACCCUAUGGAGUGUGUGUCCUGGAAGAGCAUCUCACAAUUCACAGCAUGCAUUGCCUAGUUGUUGAAAGAAGAAAUGAAUAGAAUUUUCAGAGUUUUGUGUGAGGUUGUUGGUGAAAAAUCAUCAUCUGAAUUAAAAAUAAGAAAUAAACUAUAAGUUUGAGAAGAAAAAGAAAAGAAAAUCCAAGUAAAGAUAAUAGGGUCCCAAUUUUAACUUUUCCAGGAAAUAUACAAGAUUUGGAGGGAAUCAGAAGUCAUGGGAGAGCAAUCAAGUUUCUUAAACUUUAUAUAAAAUACUAAAGCUUCUUAGUUUUCUGUGUUUUCAGUCUAAUACCUGAGUUUUGAGGUACACUUCUUCAUAAUUUGAGAUAACAAUGACAAACAAAAGAAUAAGAUUUUCACAAAUAAAUCCCAUAAAUCUAAGCUACUGAGUUUAACACAAUUCUAAUGCCCUAUGUUUUCUUUUAUUUGUCUUCAUUUCAGAUCCAAACGUGUCUAGCAUUUUGAAGUAGCAAAACUACUAUAUAACUCAUAAAUGUUGCAUAUAACAAAACAUGAAACUUUUUAAAAUUUUUUUUACAUAUCUAAUUUUCUUUAAUUAGUUAGUAACUUAGCAAUAUGUGAAUGAGUUUUCUCAGGGGCCUAUUAUUCUUCCACAUAUGAAUCAGGUUGUGAGAAUAUAGCUAAAUGGACCUAAAAUAGAAUUGUUUCAUCUACAUAAGGACCUUAGGAUUUUUUUUCUAUCAGUCUGUACAUAACUCAGAAUUGAAAGAUUAGCUAUAGAUAAACAUCCUGCCCAAGGCAAUAUCAGAUAUUAAGAAAGACUAGAAUCUGGCAGUUAUGUCUAUUUGAACUAAGUAGACAGGGAUUUGUGAAGUUUUAUAAGAGAGAUCCCAAAAGCACAGAAAGAAAGAAUACAAUUUUCUUGACUUCAUGUGGUAAAUCUCUUUCUUGUACAUAUGUCAUCAGUCUAAUCAUGCAAGAGUUGGCACACUAAAAGUAGUGAGAAAAGUUUGUGAAGUAGAAUGCUGCCUUUAUAUGUGAGUCUUUGUCAAAUUAUCUAGUGAACUGGAGGGGGUGUAACAUACUAAUUUCCUAUAGUGAAUAUAAUCAUUGUGUCUUGCAAACAUGUACUAAUAAAAGUUAAAAAAGAGAGAGAAAAUGGAAGGAGAAAGGAGGAAGAGGAGGAGAAGGGGAUGAAAAAAGAAUUAAGAUGUAUUAUGUACAUGUGUCAACUCUAUACAAGGAAUGUAAAUUUUAUGUACUGAAAACAUGUGAUUAAAAAAAGUAUCUAAUGAAAAGGUAUAAACAGGACUGAGAUUUAUUUUAUACUCAUAUUUUUAAUCACUCUAGAAUGUUCUUAACUCUUUAAUUAUAUGAUGCUUCUACCAGAUUUUUAAUGAUUUAUCAAAAGUUUGGAAAAUUAAACAGUAUUUGAGGGAGACAUAAACACCAACAUUGGUCCAUCAAGAGUUCCUUUUAAUUUCUGUUAUGUAUUGUUAUGUAUUGAUAUAUGUGUGAGUACGUAUUUUAAUAUCUAAUUUUCUGAAAUUAGAGGACAUCAUAUUCAAAAGCAUUAAAAUUUAAAGAGUGAAUAUUCUCUGUUGCUCUUUUAAAAGAUUAAUCCCAGUUAGCACACUUUUAUAAAAAUGUAGAAUGAAAAACAAUGUUUAUACUUUUACAAAUAUUUGUGUGGUGAAAUCAGAAACAGAUUGAGUUAUUAAUGUCUCCAUACAAAUCUAAAUUCUUUUCCAAGUUCAGAGACAUCUAAAGACAUGGAAAUGAUUGACUGAUGGUUAGAACCAAAUUUUAUUGGGUUAAUUCUACCUCUGUGAAAGAACUUAGUGAGUAUUGUAUCUUAUCUUGGAGAGUUAUAAUUUUGGAUAUAACAUCUCUUUGCAUAUUUAUUCAACAUGUAAUGUGUAAGCAACUAUUAUCCAUCAGUAGUUGCUCUGGGUUCUGCAAUGGGUCUCAAGAAUCUCAUGCAGGUAUUUUAUUCCUUUGAGCACACAGGUAGAUAAUAAACCACAAUAUUAAUAAACAAGUGAUAAAACAUUGGUGGAAUUUUUUUCCUUGAAAUGAAUACAGCAAGCAAAUAAAAUUGGAAAAGGUUCAUGAUGGGAUCUGUGUUUAGCUAUGGUGGUCUGGAAGGACUUCAUUGUGGAGGUCACAGCUGACAGAAAAGCAGAUUGUUGGGAAGGCUGUGACAUUACUCCAACUAGGUAAAGAUGAUUUCAACUUGAUUGUGUCAGUGAAAAAUAGUGAAAUAUGUUUGGAUAUGAGAAAAACUUUAAAAAUAUCAUAUACAAAAUGUUCUGAUAACAGUUACAUAUUCUAAAUCAAGCUUGAGAGUCUGGGGUUUUUAGAGCAAAUGUUGCUAAAGGGACCAGAAAACAGAAUUAGUUUUGAAAUUAUAUUUUUCUUUGUGAAAAUGAGUUCAGAUUCAUACGAAUGAGUCUAAAGUGAAAGUAAGGCAUCUAGGAUGUAUAGUUUUUAAAUGUGUAG